rnacentral:rRNA from 1 species
GCCUACGGGUGGCAGCAGUAGGGAAUCUUGCGCAAUGGGCGAAAGCCUGACGCAGCCAUGCCGCGUGAAUGAUGAAGGUCUUAGGAUUGUAAAAUUCUUUCACCGGGGACGAUAAUGACGGUACCCGGAGAAGAAGCUCCGGCUAACUUCGUGCCAGCAGCCGCGGUAAUACGAAGGGGGCUAGCGUUGCUCGGAAUUACUGGGCGUAAAGGGCGCGUAGGAGGACAGUUUAGUCAGAGGUGAAAGCCCGGGGCUCAACCUUGGAAUAGCCUUUGAUACUGGCUGUCUUGAGUACGGGAGAGGUGUGUGGAACUCCGAGUGUAGAGGUGAAAUUCGUAGAUAUUCGGAAGAACACCAGUGGCGAAGGCGACACACUGGCCCGUUACUGACGCUGAGGCGCGAAAGCGUGGGGAGCAAACAGGAUUAGAUACCCGAGUAGUC